rnacentral:rRNA from 1 species
UACGAAGGGGGCUAGCGUUGCUCGGAAUCACUGGGCGUAAAGCGCGCGUAGGCGGAUCUUUAAGUCAGGGGUGAAAUCCCAAGGCUCAACCUUGGAACUGCCUUUGAUACUGGGGAUCUCGAGUCCGGAAGAGGUUGGUGGAACUGCGAGUGUAGAGGUGAAAUUCGUAGAUAUUCGCAAGAACACCAGUGGCGAAGGCGGCCAACUGGUCCGGUACUGACGCUGAGGUGCGAAAGCGUGGGGAGCAAACAGG